AUUACAGUUAUGAACAAACAUCUGCAAGCAACUAUGAGAGCAAGCAGCGCCAGCCAGCGCCUGCCUGCUCAGCUGCAGCCUCCGGCCGGGGAUUCGUACUGCCCACCAAGCAAGCGCUGCUGGAAUCCUGCGUCCAAGUCCAACACUUACCGGGAGCACUUAGAAUGACAAGAGCACAAAAAGAAAGAUGUUGUUCAGAAGACAGGAAACCAAGGGAGCGGGAGCUCGGCAGGAUUCAAAACCAGCGUCAAUGUGAGCUCUGUGAUGUCUCUGCAGAGGAGCAGGUGCAUGCACCGCAUGUAUCCGGGAGCCGCCAGAAGGAACUGUUGUAUGAAUAGAAGCGUGGAAGCGGCUGCCUUCUGAGAACUGCUCGCAGAGGAGGGAUGCUGAGGAGGAAGAGGAGGUGGUGGUGUGAGCUGUAACCUGUUCAGAAGUGUUCUCGGAUAUUGAAGGCACCGGUGCCUGACUAACAAAAAUACAGGGAGCAAGCAACAAACUCGUGGCAGAGAAGGUGAUGAAACCAGCAGCAGAGCUACAACUAUCUCUGAGGAUAUACCUGGAGGACUGCUGGAUGUACAGCCUGUUUUACAUGACCGUGUGGAAGAGGGUAACAUCUUUCUUCACAAGAUAAAUUGCUAUCUGAGGCUUUUCAUUUCAGACAUACUAAUCAUGAUUUUUAACAUGUUUGCAAUGUUGUUUUUUCAGCAGUACUUGAUCUGGGUGUUGAACUUACUCCAUGCGGUUUCAUUUGGUGCAUAAUUACCGCACUCUGAUUUUUCAAAUAUACAGUUAUGGGCUUACACGCGAGGUUUUGUAUUAGUCGAGCUUUUUUUCCGUGAGUCAAUACGGGUUUUGAUGCUGUGCCAGAUGAUGAAACAUUUAGAUUGUUUCCGUUGUUAUUAUUUCAUGAAUUCCUGAAAAUGUUACUUUGCUUUUAGUUAUGAAAUUGUACAUUAAGAUUUGAAAUCUCAAUUCAGUCUUCGGGUAUAGCGUUUCCAGUGAGAUCAGUUUUCGUUCUUCCCAUUCUCAUUGUAUGCAAAAGCAGAUAAAAAGAAAAAAAAACAAAGGCAGCAAGUGUAAGAAUGACUUAUGCCUGGAAGAAGCCCACGAUGACGCAGGCGGGUGACUGACUGAAUACCAGGGAGGAGGUAGGUGCUGCAGGAGGCAGUAAUGAUCUUCAAGGGGACGUACUUGCGUGCACUGUGGACUCGAAAAGAAAAAAAUGCUGGGAGAAAUUCUUUGCUAGGAAAUGAAUGCUAUUUCUUAUGAGCUUUAAAAUGAAGUCAUAUCCAUCAUGAUGACAAAUACUGUCUUGUCACUGUAUGUGAAUGAAUCAUUAAAUUUCUAUGUGGGGUUUUCAGUGGCGUCUCACUAGAGCCCUUUGCAGCUUAAAUGGAUGUUGCGGUUCCUUCCUGUCUUAAAUAGCAUUGUAACGUGGCUGUGAGCUUUUAAAAUAGCUGCUGCACAUUACUCAAUGGGUUGGCAAAACUUUAAUAAGUAUGUGCCUCUUGUGAAAGUACAUUCUGGUGAGAAAUCCCUAAAUGCAAAGCAGUUGUUACUGUCAUGGGUCGCUAUCCUGAACAACAUGUUUUAUGUCUCAGACUGGAAAUGAUGAAGGAAAAAAUAUCCGACUUCAUUGUAAGCUCUGAGUGCAGUUUCAGUGGGUUUGUGUUUAGUAUUCAGAGAGCAGUGCUAGAAUCCUACUCCGAAAUAAAAAAUGUACGAGAAGGUGGGGAAAAAAGUUCUACUCUCGCACAGGCCCAUAAAACUGCAGUAGUGAUGGAAAAAUGACAGUGAAUAACAGAAACGUUCAUGGAGACCCCCGAGGACUUACUCUAAAUGACAGAGGUGAUGUAUUCUGGUAUUUUGUGUGCUUUUGAGGGGGAAUUUCUUGUAUGAUUACUGCAGUUAAGAAGAUUACCGGGAAGCUGUAAAAUCCUGCAUGCACUCAGUUGUCUCAGAUCUUUAACAAUUUUAGAAAGAAGCUCUGAACUGAGCUUUUCAUUCCCCUGACAUUGACCCCCAGGAAGCUCUGGUUGGUGUCAAGUGCAGGUCAAAGGGUUGGUUUGUGUGUGUCUGCCUGGGGAGGGGCUGGUGUCUGUUUUAGUGGUAAAGUGACAAAGAUAAUUCCUUACUUGGCUAUUUAUACAAUAAAAAUUAUCAUGGAAGAUGAUAUGUUCAUAGUGGUUUUACAGGCCUGUGCCAACACAAUCUAGAAACUAAUUUCCAAGCGCUAAAAAACCAAGGCAGAGUCCCAAGGACAGGUGUGUGCCUAGAGAAGCAGCAAGGUUUGGUUAAAGAGAAAGCAUGUUCGUUUGCUUUUUAUUUCUAAUGUGUUGCUUUUAUCCUCUCCGUAGGCAACGGGACUCUUUGUAGGCGUGAAGCCUGUUAAAGCCUGGCAGUGGUGUGUGGCAUGGUCGGGAAGGUGUUGUGUUGGGGAAUAGGGAUGAACCCGGGCUGCAGGUCGCUGUCAGAAAGGUCAGCUGGAUGCUCUGGAGACUGAGCUGUCAGGAGUGAGAUGAUGUCCCAGCCCAGGCACAGGUGGAGGAAAAAAAAGCAGUUAACAAUAGCUAAAGAGGACACUUUGGUAAAUGUUCCUGGCAGUGAUAUACUGGAGAUCCCCGCCGCAAUUAACACUCUUAAACUACUGCAUUUCAUUUAUUAUUAUAUUCUUCUCAUUAGUAACACCAGAAAUUGUGCUGACGUUGCUCACUUUUUAAUAAAGGGAUUCAUCAAAGUGAGUGAAUAUUUCAAAUAA